UGUUGGAUCCAUCAAUCAAAUAAAAUAGAUCGUUCCUAUGAGAAGAUCCAAUCAAGAAUUUCAUUAUAUCCCUUUCUUCUAAAAUCGAAUAUUUUAGUAUAGUAUCUCAUAGGGAUAAAUGAUACGGAUACAGUAUAGAAAAAAAACUAAAUAAAGCUAAUAAAAGAUACUUUCGAAUGACUAUAAGAUAUCAUCAGAAUGGAUCUUAUUAAUUCUAAUGAGUUAUCUUGUGAUUUGAAGUUCAAGUAAUAAGAUAUUAUGUUCCAUGGAAGUGGAUCCGUAUGGACACUUAUACAUUCAGAUAUAAAUACACUAGGUUGCACAAAAAAUCAUUUUUUCAUCACGCCGGUAAAGGAUUUUCCAAGAUAAAAAAGGGUCCGUGGGGCACCUAAUCGUUAUGUCAUAAUAGAUCCGAACACU
rnacentral:lncRNA from 1 species